rnacentral:rRNA from 1 species
AGCGAACGCUGGCGGCAGGCUUAACACAUGCAAGUCGAGCGGGCGUAGCAAUACGUCAGCGGCAGACGGGUGAGUAACGCGUGGGAACGUACCUUUUGUUCGGAACAACACAGGGAAACUUAGUGCUAAUACCGGAUAAGCCCUUACGGGAAGGAUUAUCGCCGAAGAUCGGCCCGCGUCUGAUUAGCUAGUUGGUGAGGUAACGGCUCACCAAGGCGACGAUCAGUAGCUGGUCNGA